CCUACGGGAGGCAGCAGUAGGGAAUUUUGCGCAAUGGGGGAAACCCUGACGCAGCAACGCCGCGUGAUCGAUGAAGCCCCUCGGGGUGUAAAGAUCUGUCAGUGGGGACGAAACCUGACGGUACCCACAGUGGAAGCACCGGCUAACUCCGUGCCAGCAGCCGCGGUAAUACGGGGGGUGCAAGCGUUUUCCGGAAUCAUUGGGCGUAAAGGGUUCGUAGGUGGCACGUUAAGGCUGUUGUGAAAGGCGGAAGCUCAACUUCCGUAGGGCACUGGAUACUGGCGAGCUUGAGUGCGGUGGAGGUAAAGGGAAUUCGUGGUGUAGCGGUGAAAUGCGUAGAUAUCAGGAAGAACAUCGAUUGCGAAAGCAGUUUACUGGGCCGUAAUUGACACUGAGGAACGAAAGCCGGGGUAGCAAAUGGGAUUAGAUACCCCAGUAGUC
rnacentral:rRNA from 1 species